rnacentral:rRNA from 1 species
CAGCAGCCGCGGUAAUACGUAGGUGACAAGCGUUGUCCGGAUUUACUGGGCGUAAAGAGCGCGCAGGCGGUCGUUCAAGUCGCGUGUGAAAGCCCCCGGCUCAACUGGGGAGGGUCACGCGAUACUGAUCGACUCGAAGGCAGGAGAGGGAAGUGGAAUUCCCGGUGUAGUGGUGAAAUGCGUAGAUAUCAGGAGGAACAUCGAUGGCGAAGGCAGCCACCUGGCCUAAGACUGACGCUGAGGCGCGAAAGCGUGGGGAGCGAACAGGAUUAGAUACCCCGGUAGUCCUGGCCGUAAACGUUGGGCACUAGGUGUUGGAGGCAUCGACCCCUCCAGUGCCGCAGCUAACGCAUUAAGUGCCCCGCCUGGGGAGUACGGUCGCAAGACUGAAACUCAAAGGAAUUGACGG